rnacentral:rRNA from 1 species
UACGUAGGGGGGCUAGCGUUGUCCGGAAUCAUUGGGCGUAAAGCGCGUGUAGGCGGUCCGGUAAGUCCGCUGUGAAAGUCGGGGGGCUCAACCCUCGAAUGCCGGUGGAUACUGUCGGGCUAGAGUGCGGAAGAGGCGAGUGGAAUCCUGGUGUAGCGGUGAAAUGCGCAGAUAUCAGGAGGAACACCAAUUGCGAAGGCAGCUCGCUGGGACGUAACUGACGCUGAGACGCGAAAGCGUGGGGGAGCAAACAGG